GACGGAGGAUGGAAGCUGUAUGCGGAAUUCUUGGGCGUAAAGCGUCCGUAGGUGGCCUAUCAAGUCUGCUGUUAAAGCCCAGGGCUCAACUCUGGAUCAGCAGUGGAAACUGAUAAGCUAGAGCGCGGUAGGGGCAGAGGGGAGUCCCGGUGUAGCGGUGAAAUGCGUAGAUAUCGUGAAGAACACCAGUGGCGAAGGCGCUCAGCUGGGCCGUAACUGACACCCAUUGACGGAAGCUAGGGGAGCGAAAGGG
rnacentral:rRNA from 1 species